rnacentral:rRNA from 1 species
GGGUUCCGGAGGCCGCGCGAGUAAGGGAAUUUUUCCGCCAAUGGACGGAAAGUCUGACGGAGGCAAACGCCGCGUGAGUGAUGAAAGGUUUUUCGGAUCGUUAAAAGCUCUGUUGUUAGGGAAGAACAAAGUACCGUUCGAAAUAGGGCGGUACCUUGACGGUACCUAACCAGAAAGCCACGGCUAACUACGUGCCAGCAGCCGCGGUAAUACGUAGGUGGCAAGCGUUGUCCGGAAUUAUUGGGCGUAAAGGGCUCGCAGGCGGUUUCUUAAGUCUGAUGUGAAAGCCCCCGGCUCAACCGGGGAGGGUCAUUGGAAACUGGGGAACUUGAGUGCAGAAGAGGAGAGUGGAAUUCCACGUGUAGCGGUGAAAUGCGUAGAGAUGUGGAGGAACACCAGUGGCGAAGGCGACUCUCUGGUCUGUAACUGACGCUGAGGAGCGAAAGCGUGGGGAGCGAACAGGAUUAGAUACCCUGGUAGUCCACGCCGUAAACGAUGAGUGCUAAGUGUUAGGGCUUCCGCCCUAUACUUUCCAGACGCUC